rnacentral:rRNA from 1 species
CCUACGGGGGGCAGCAGUGAGGAAUAUUGGUCAAUGGACGAGAGUCUGAACCAGCCAAGUAGCGUGAAGGAUGACUGCCCUCUGGGUUGUAAACUUCUUUUAUAAAGGAAUAAAACGAGGCACGUGUGCCUUUUUGCAUGUACUUUAUGAAUAAGGAUCGGCUAACUCCGUGCCAGCAGCCGCGGUAAUACGGAGGGUCCGAGCGUUAUCCGGAUUUAUUGGGUGUAAAGGGAGCGUAGAUGGGUUGUUAAGUCAGUUGUGAAAGUUUGCGGCUCAACCGUAAAAUUGCAAUUGAUACUGGCAGUCUUGAGUACAGUUGAGGUAGGCGGAAUUCGUGGUGUAGCGGUGAAAUGCUUAGAUAUCACGAAGAACCCCGAUUGCGAAGGCAGCUUACUAAACUGUGACUGACAUUGAUGCUCGAAAGUGUGGGUAGCAAACAGGAUUAGAUACCCCAGUAGUC